AAACUGUAAUACUUAGCUUUAUUCCUUGAACUACUAUUGACAGAAUGUUUUGGCUUUAUGAGCAUACAUAAUAUUUAAAACACAAUCUAAUGUGCUAUGCUAGAAGCAUACACAGUUUUGGUGUAAUAUAGGUGUUUCUGUUGUCAUUCUGUGGUAGAGUCAGUUGGUCCAUGCCAUUUGAUAUGUGGAUUCUGUCUGCUUCAUAUUUCCAACCAUGAAUCUUCCAGAAAUUGUGGAGCCUUUUUCUCAAAUACCAUAGAAUCUUCAACUGCUUCAAUAAUGGUUAAGGUUAUUAAAUAUUAAUUUACUCUUAGUAUUGCAAAUCUGAUUCUGAACUAUGAUAAUCGUAAUUUGUGACAGAAAACAAUUGCUGAAUUUGAUGUGUCGGAUAAAAGUAGAUUUCUUUUCUUCUUACUUGAUCAUCUUAUACAAUGCCUUUACACCCCCAUCUUUUCAAUUGCGGUUGGACAGGAUAUUUAUAUUGAAUGAUUGACUCUAGAUAAAGUUAUUUGUUCCUAGUAAAAUACUGUAAGCUAGGGUUAUUAGCAUAGUAUGAAGCUCAAGAUACACUCUCACACAACACACAAUUUGUUUGAGCGAAUAAUUUUGUUGUAAUUUUAAUAAUUAAA
rnacentral:misc_RNA from 1 species